UUAUGGCCGUAUCACGUUGAAACACAGGUACCCACACGAUCACCAAAGUUAAGCAACGUCGAACCGAGUCAGUACUUAGAUGGGUGACUGUUUGGGAAUACCGGGUGCUGUAGG